AUUAAACGCUGGCGGCAUGCCUUACACAUGCAAGUCGAACGGCAGCACGGGGCAACCUGGUGGCGAGUGGCGAACGGGUGAGUAAAGCAUCGGAACGUGCCCUGGAGUGGGGGAUAACGUAGCGAAAGUUACGCUAAUACCGCAUAUUCUGUGAGCAGGAAAGCAGGGGAUCGCAAGACCUUGCGCUCUGGGAGCGGCCGAUGUCGGAUUAGCUAGUUGGUGGGGUAAAGGCCUACCAAGGCGACGAUCCGUAGCGGGUCUGAGAGGAAGGCCCCCCACAAUGGAACUGAAACACGGUCCAUACACCUACGGGUGGCAGCAGUAGGGAAUAUUAGAAAUGGGCGGAAGCCUGAUCUAGCAAACACCGCGUGUGCGAUGAAGGCCUUCGGGUCGUAAAGCACUUUUUGGAGGGAAUAGGAAGGAAGGUACCUCCAGAAUAAGUCUCGGCUAACUACGUGCCAGCAGCCGGUAAUCUGUAGUCGU
rnacentral:rRNA from 1 species